rnacentral:rRNA from 1 species
UAAGCGACUAAGCGUACACGGUGGAUGCCCUGGCAGUCAGAGGCGAUGAAGGACGUGCUAAUCUGCGAUAAGCGUCGGUAAGGUGAUAUGAACCGUUAUAACCGGCGAUUUCCGAAUGGGGAAACCCAGUGUGAUUCGUCACACUAUCAUUAACUGAAUCCAUAGGUUAAUGAGGCGAACCGGGGGAACUGAAACAUCUAAGUACCCCGAGGAAAAGAAAUCAACCGAGAUUCCCCCAGUAGCGGCGAGCGAACGGGGAGGAGCCCAGAGCCUGAAUCAGUGUGUGUGUUAGUGGAAGCGUCUGGAAAGGCGCGCGAUACAGGGUGACAGCCCCGUACACAAAAAUGCACAUGCUGUGAGCUCGAUGAGUAGGGCGGGACACGUGGUAUCCUGUCUGAAUAUGGGGGGACCAUCCUCCAAGGCUAAAUACUCCUGACUGACCGAUAGUGAACCAGUACCGUGAGGGAAAGGCGAAAAGAACCCCGGCGAGGGGAGUGAAAAGAACCUGAAACCGUGUACGUACAAGCAGUGGGAGCACGCUUAGGCGUGUGACUGCGUACCUUUUGUAUAAUGGGUCAGCGACUUAUAUUCUGUAGCAAGGUUAACCGAAUAGGGGAGCCGAAGGGAAACCGAGUCUUAACUGGGCGUUAAGUUGCAGGGUAUAGACCCGAAACCCGGUGAUCUAGCCAUGGGCAGGUUGAAGGUUGGGUAACACUAACUGGAGGACCGAACCGACUAAUGUUGAAAAAUUAGCGGAUGACUUGUGGCUGGGGGUGAAAGGCCAAUCAAACCGGGAGAUAGCUGGUUCUCCCCGAAAGCUAUUUAGGUAGCGCCUCGUGAACUCAUCUCCGGGGGUAGAGCACUGUUUCGGCAAGGGGGUCAUCCCGACUUACCAACCCGAUGCAAACUGCGAAUACCGGAGAAUGUUAUCACGGGAGACACACGGCGGGUGCUAACGUCCGUCGUGGAGAGGGAAACAACCCAGACCGCCAGCUAAGGUCCCAAAGUCAUGGUUAAGUGGGAAACGAUGUGGGAAGGCCCAGACAGCCAGGAUGUUGGCUUAGAAGCAGCCAUCAUUUAAAGAAAGCGUAAUAGCUCACUGGUCGAGUCGGCCUGCGCGGAAGAUGUAACGGGGCUAAACCAUGCACCGAAGCUGCGGCAGCGACGCUUAUGCGUUGUUGGGUAGGGGAGCGUUCUGUAAGCCUGUGAAGGUGUGCUGUGAGGCAUGCUGGAGGUAUCAGAAGUGCGAAUGCUGACAUAAGUAACGAUAAAGCGGGUGAAAAGCCCGCUCGCCGGAAGACCAAGGGUUCCUGUCCAACGUUAAUCGGGGCAGGGUGAGUCGACCCCUAAGGCGAGGCCGAAAGGCGUAGUCGAUGGGAAACAGGUUAAUAUUCCUGUACUUGGUGUUACUGCGAAGGGGGGACGGAGAAGGCUAUGUUGGCCGGGCGACGGUUGUCCCGGUUUAAGCGUGUAGGCUGGUUUUCCAGGCAAAUCCGGAAAAUCAAGGCUGAGGCGUGAUGACGAGGCACUACGGUGCUGAAGCAACAAAUGCCCUGCUUCCAGGAAAAGCCUCUAAGCAUCAGGUAACAUCAAAUCGUACCCCAAACCGACACAGGUGGUCAGGUAGAGAAUACCAAGGCGCUUGAGAGAACUCGGGUGAAGGAACUAGGCAAAAUGGUGCCGUAACUUCGGGAGAAGGCACGCUGAUAUGUAGGUGAAGUCCCUCGCGGAUGGAGCUGAAAUCAGUCGAAGAUACCAGCUGGCUGCAACUGUUUAUUAAAAACACAGCACUGUGCAAACACGAAAGUGGACGUAUACGGUGUGACGCCUGCCCGGUGCCGGAAGGUUAAUUGAUGGGGUCAGCGCAAGCGAAGCUCUUGAUCGAAGCCCCGGUAAACGGCGGCCGUAACUAUAACGGUCCUAAGGUAGCGAAAUUCCUUGUCGGGUAAGUUCCGACCUGCACGAAUGGCGUAAUGAUGGCCAGGCUGUCUCCACCCGAGACUCAGUGAAAUUGAACUCGCUGUGAAGAUGCAGUGUACCCGCGGCAAGACGGAAAGACCCCGUGAACCUUUACUAUAGCUUGACACUGAACAUUGAGCCUUGAUGUGUAGGAUAGGUGGGAGGCUUAGAAGUGUGGACGCCAGUCUGCAUGGAGCCGACCUUGAAAUACCACCCUUUAAUGUUUGAUGUUCUAACGUUGACCCGUAAUCCGGGUUGCGGACAGUGUCUGGUGGGUAGUUUGACUGGGGCGGUCUCCUCCUAAAGAGUAACGGAGGAGCACGAAGGUUGGCUAAUCCUGGUCGGACAUCAGGAGGUUAGUGCAAUGGCAUAAGCCAGCUUGACUGCGAGCGUGACGGCGCGAGCAGGUGCGAAAGCAGGUCAUAGUGAUCCGGUGGUUCUGAAUGGAAGGGCCAUCGCUCAACGGAUAAAAGGUACUCCGGGGAUAACAGGCUGAUACCGCCCAAGAGUUCAUAUCGACGGCGGUGUUUGGCACCUCGAUGUCGGCUCAUCACAUCCUGGGGCUGAAGUAGGUCCCAAGGGUAUGGCUGUUCGCCAUUUAAAGUGGUACGCGAGCUGGGUUUAGAACGUCGUGAGACAGUUCGGUCCCUAUCUGCCGUGGGCGCUGGAGAACUGAGGGGGGCUGCUCCUAGUACGAGAGGACCGGAGUGGACGCAUCACUGGUGUUCGGGUUGUCAUGCCAAUGGCACUGCCCGGUAGCUAAAUGCGGAAGAGAUAAGUGCUGAAAGCAUCUAAGCACGAAACUUGCCCCGAGAUGAGUUCUCCCUGACUCCUUGAGAGUCCUGAAGGAACGUUGAAGACGACGACGUUGAUAGGCCGGGUGUGUAAGCGCAGCGAUGCGUUGAGCUAACCGGUACUAAUGAACCGUGAGGCUUAACCU